rnacentral:lncRNA from 1 species
AGAAGCCCGGCUCCUCGCCGGGGAAGGCCGGGUGCUGGCCCGCCGGGACCUGGGACUUGUGCCCCAUGGAGUGUCGGGAGUCUCUAGUGCCGCGCGUUCUACACCACAGGGCCAGGCUGUUUGCUCCCUAUCGGGCGCUGCCCCCAGCACCCUGUUGUUAUUAAGGACUCAUUUGCUUGGAGCGGCAUCAUUACAAGGGUGUGGGCACCAGAUACUGCUACACCAUCUCAUUGGCAUGGACCUAUAUGUGGCAGCAAGUCCAUCUCAUCGCUUUUGGUGAAAGUCAGUCCAGUUUGUAAAGAUUCUCAUUGUCACUGUAGACGAGGAACUGGGACACCAAAAGGAGAAACUGGCCACCCUUGUACCCUGUUCCCAAUCCUGGUCCAGCAUCACCCACAGAUGGCAAGGAGCUCUAGAGACCUCACCAGCCCCUGGGAUUGGUCACCCCACUCUUCUGUGGACAGAGAUUCCUGCUGGGAUCCUUUGAGGGCAAGCAGACCCUUCUUCCAGCUUGGACUGUGAACUCCACUGCAGCC